rnacentral:rRNA from 1 species
AGAGUUUGAUCCUGGCUCAGGACGAACGCUGGCGGCGUGCUUAACACAUGCAAGUCGAACGGAAAGGCCCUUUCGGGGGUACUCGAGUGGCGAACGGGUGAGUAACACGUGGGUGAUCUGCCCUGCACUUCGGGAUAAGCUUGGGAAACUGGGUCUAAUACCGGAUAGGACUACGGCCUGCAUGGGUUGUGGUGGAAAGCUUUUGCGGUGUGGGAUGGGCCCGCGGCCUAUCAGCUUGUUGGUGGGGUGAUGGCCUACCAAGGCGACGACGGGUAGCCGGCCUGAGAGGGUGUCCGGCCACACUGGGACUGAGAUACGGCCCAGACUCCUACGGGAGGCAGCAGUGGGGAAUAUUGCACAAUGGGCGCAAGCCUGAUGCAGCGACGCCGCGUGGGGGAUGACGGCCUUCGGGUUGUAAACCUCUUUCACCAUCGGCGAAGCCCAUGAUUUUUGUUGUGGGUGACGGUAGGUGGAGAAGAAGCACCGGCCAACUACGUGCCAGCAGCCGCGGUAAUACGUAGGGUGCGAGCGUUGUCCGGAAUUACUGGGCGUAAAGAGCUCGUAGGUGGUUUGUCGCGUUGUCCGUGAAAUUCCCUGGCUUAACUGGGGGCGUGCGGGCGAUACGGGCAGACUGGAGUACUGCAGGGGAGACUGGAAUUCCUGGUGUAGCGGUGGUAUGCGCAGAUAUCAGGAGGAACACCGGUGGCGAAGGCGGGUCUCUGGGCAGUAACUGACGCUGAGGAGCGAAAGCGUGGGGAGCGAACAGGAUUAGAUACCCCAGUAGUCC